ACCAUGGCAUCAACACCUGGAACUAUCAGAGUCCUUACAACACUGCUUCUUCUAGCCAGAGGAUCCCUCUCACAGCUGGAUGUGUGUGGGCAACCCCCCCUCAACACCCGCAUAGUGGGGGGAGAGAACGCCCCUGCGGGGGCGUGGCCAUGGCAGGCCAGCUUUCACCGCAACGACCGCCACUUCUGCGGGGGGUCCCUCAUCAAC